GUCGAACGGUAGAGGGGGCAACCCCUCGAGAGUGGCGAACGGGUGAGUAAUAUAUCGGAACGUGCCCAGUCGUGGGGGAUAACGUAGCGAAAGUUACGCUAAUACCGCAUACGAUCUACGGAUGAAAGCGGGGGAUCGCAAGACCUCGCGCGAUUGGAGCGGCCGAUAUCAGAUUAGGUAGUUGGUGAGGUAAAGGCUCACCAAGCCAACGAUCUGUAGCUGGUCUGAGAGGACGACCAGCCACACUGGAACUGAGACACGGUCCAGACUCCUACGGGAGGCAGCAGUGGGGAAUUUUGGACAAUGGACGCAAGUCUGAUCCAGCCAUUCCGCGUGCAGGAUGAAGGCCCUCGGGUUGUAAACUGCUUUUGUACGGAACGAAAAGGUCUCUCUUAAUACGGGGGGCUCAUGACGGUACCGUAAGAAUAAGCACCGGCUAACUACGUGCCAGCAGCCGCGGUAAUACGUAGGGUGCAAGCGUUAAUCGGAAUUACUGGGCGUAAAGCGUGCGCAGGCGGUUAUAUAAGACAGAUGUGAAAUCCCCGGGCUCAACCUGGGAACUGCAUUUGUGACUGUAUAGCUAGAGUACUGUAGAGGGGGAUGGAAUUCCGCGUGUAGCAGUGAAAUGCGUAGAUAUGCGGAGGAACACCGAUGGCGAAGGCAAUCCCCUGGACCUGUACUGACGCUCAUGCACGAAAGCGUGGGGAGCAAACAGGAUUAGAUACCCUGGUAGUCCACGCCCUAAACGAU
rnacentral:rRNA from 1 species